GGCGAGGACCCGCGUGACGGGGCCGCCGUGAACCUGGUCAGGGCUUGACGGCAGCAGCCAUAAGCGAACGGUUUCGAGCACGUCGGAUCUCCUCGCCCAC
rnacentral:SRP_RNA from 1 species